rnacentral:rRNA from 1 species
GACGAACGCUGGCGGCGUGCUUAACACAUGCAAGUCGAACGGAAAGGCCCUGCUUUUGUGGGGUGCUCGAGUGGCGAACGGGUGAGUAACACGUGAGUAACCUGCCCUUGACUUUGGGAUAACUUCAGGAAACUGGGGCUAAUACCGGAUAGGAGCUCCUGCUGCAUGGUGGGGGUUGGAAAGUUUCGGCGGUUGGGGAUGGACUCGCGGCUUAUCAGCUUGUUGGUGGGGUAGUGGCUUACCAAGGCUUUGACGGGUAGCCGGCCUGAGAGGGUGACCGGCCAAAUUGGGACUGAGAUACGGCCCAGACUCCUACGGGAGGCAGCAGUGGGGAAUAUGGCACAAUGGGCGGAAGCCUGAUGCAGCAACGCCGCGUGCGGGAUGACGGCCUUCGGGUUGUAAACCGCUUUCGCCUGUGACGAAGCGUGAGUGACGGUAAUGGGUAAAGAAGCACCGGCUAACUACGUG